GUGUUCUUCUUGGAGCCAUAUGAUACAUUCAUAUAAUUGCAACUAUCUUUGUACGCUUGACUCAAAACAGAAAUUGCACAUUAGUCAACCCAAUAGACAGAGGUGUUCAAUGUACACACACUUGCUUGCUUUCCUAACUCAAACAAAAUCUGCAUGAUAUUGAAAAUGAAACCGAAGAAUCUUUUGCCAGUCUUCUGUUUUUGGCUUGUUGUGUCUGCACAAGAAUGCGGAAAACUGGUUUCUUCAGACCCUAUAAACCGUGGCCUUCUCCUCUCUUCUCUCGCUUCUAAUGUCUUAGCUCAAGACGGUUUCUACAAUGCCUCUGUUUCCGAUUGGGUGUAUUCAUCUAAGGUGCUAAGCAAGAUGUUUGCUCCAACUGUAUGUCUGUAUCAACCUUGCUUCUUAUUGGUUUGAUAGAGAAAUGUCCCAACCAGAAAGAAGGCGUCUUCUGGUUCUUCGAGAAGAUUUCUUGUAUGAUACGUUACUCUAACUGUUCAUUCUUUAGAUCACUCGAGAUGGAAUCAAGUUCCAAGCUGUACAAUACUGGGGAUUUCGCAGGAAUUAUCGGAAUCAUCGUUGGUCUCACCUUCAUGAUCAGCGUGAUGCUUGUUCUAGGGUUGGCUCUUUGUAUGAGGAGAAAAGCGCAUGUACCAAGAAAUUUGCAACUAAAAGUGAGUCUGACACUACGGUUGAUUUGGCUCAAAGACUCAUUUAUAGUUUUGGAGUCUUAGUUCUUGAGAUUUAUAUACGGUCGAAAUAACAGAUUCGCCCACCAGUCUGACACUACAGUUGAGAAUUUGGUCACAUACGCUUGGAGGUUGUGGAGAAACGGGUCACCAUUAGAACUCGUGGAUCCAACCAUUUCAGAGAAUUGUGAAACCGAAGAAGUGACAAGAUGCAUCCACAUUGCAUUGCUAUGUGUUCAACAAAAUCCCACUGAUCACCCGAGCUUGUCGACAAUCCACAUGAUGUUCACUCACAAUUCCCUUAACUUACCAGAUCCUCAACAACCUGGAUUCUUCUUUCCAAAUAGAAGCAACCAAGAACGAGAUGGCCUCGAGUCUAGCCAGUCUACGAACCGGUCCAAUUCCCAAACUAUGAAUGAUGUAACCAUUACUGAUCUUGAUCCUCGUUGAAGUCGACGUUCCAUUGAGACAUUGGACCUGUUGUGAAAUCAUUCUUCCGAUUUGUAUGUAAGCAAAAUACACCAGGGACUCUUUCUUCUGAUAAUUGAUGUAUAAUAAUAUCCAAACCGGUUUUACUGACUAAACCGGUCCUAUAUAUUAGGCCACCUAACCGUUUCUCGAUGUCAGUUGUGACUUGAAUAAAUUAUGCGACUCUACACAAAUCUUUCGCUGAAAUUGUGAUAUGAAUGGAACCCAACCCGGUUAAUCCCCUAAACCAGCAGCAUGUAAUUGUAAACCGGAAAUUGAUGGUUCAUUCUCUCUCGUUCCGAGUCAGCUUUUACGAAUCCUCUGUUUUCGCUCACUCUGUUAAGGGAUCCAUUGAUUGCUGCUUUUGCAACUCUGUUACAAGUUAGAUUGCUCGGACUAAAAAAUUGGUUUCAUGUAAGAAAAUUACUCAAUUUGUAGCAAUCAUUUUCCUCAUUUAUGUAAUUGUCAUGUAUAAAAUUUGGAGGCAAUGCGAAGAUCAAAUAAAUACCAAAGAGAUAAUAACUGUGAAGUAGCUAAUAAGUCUUUGUAUUUUGUCUCAUCUUCGUCUUUGAUAGUUAAUGCUUCUGAUUUUUCCAAAUCAAUUGACGAAAUUUCAUUCACGUAUCAUUUUCCUAUCACUUUCUUUAUGUAACCUCGUCUGAAUUUUCUUCACAAAUGACUUACAGGUUUGGAGGCUUUGGAACAACGAAUCAUUCUUGGAACUCAUAGACCCGGCCAUGGGGGAGAGUUAUGAUAAAGAUGAAGUCAUCAGAUAUAUCCAUAUAAACUUAUUGUGCGUUGAAGAAAAUCCUGGAGAUCGUCCAACCACGUCCAUAGUAUUUCAGAUGCUCACUAAUACUUUUCUUACUCUGCCAGUGCCUCAGUCACCUGGAUUUGUCUUUAGAGUCAAUUCCGAGCCAAACCCAUUAUUUGAGAGAUUGAAGCCUGGUCCGUCUACUACCAUGUCGUUUGCUUGUUCCAUUGAUGAUGCAUCGAUCACGAGUGUUAAUCUUCGUUGCAAUUAUAGGUUCAUUAUAAUAUGUAUGUCCUUUCAUAAAAAAAAAACUCUAAUAGCCACACAAUUACUAAAAGACGUACACACAUUCAGUAUU